UUUACUUGAUGAAUGCCACCUUUUGGUCCGUGUUGAUGAGAUCAUUUGAUUAUAAAGUGGAAGUCUGAAAAA
rnacentral:snoRNA from 1 species